rnacentral:rRNA from 1 species
GACGAACGCUGGCGGCGUGCUUAACACAUGCAAGUCGAACGGAAAGGCCCUGCUUGCAGGGUGCUCGAGUGGCGAACGGGUGAGUAACACGUGGGUGAUCUGCCCCUUACUUUGGGAUAAGCCUGGGAAACUGGGUCUAAUACUGGAUAGGGCCAUGCUGUAGGUGGUGUGGUGGAAAGAUUAGUUUCGGUAAGGGAUGAGCUCGCGGCCUAUCAGCUUGUUGGUGGGGUAAUGGCCUACCAAGGCGUCGACGGGUAGCCGGCCUGAGAGGGUGGACGGCCACAUUGGGACUGAGAUACGGCCCAGACUCCUACGGGAGGCAGCAGUGGGGAAUAGUGCACAAUGGGCGCAAGCCUGAUGCAGCGACGCCGCGUGGGGGAUGACGGCCUUCGGGUUGUAAACUCCUUUCAGCCAUGACGAAGCCCUUGUGGUGACGGUAGUGGUAGAAGAAGCACCGGCUAACUACGUG